GAUGAACGCUGACAGAAUGCUUAACACAUCAGCAAUUGAUUGGUGGCGGACGGGUGAGUAACGCGUAAAGAACUUGCCUCACAGCUAGGGACAACAUUUGGAAACGAAUGCUAAUACCUAAUCCUGUGAGAGAGCUUUGCGUCCCAUUAGCUAGUUGGCGAGGUAACGGCUCACCAAGGCGAGGACGGGUAGCCGGCUUGAGAGGGAGAUCGGCCACAAGCGGACUGAGUAACGGCCCUUACUCCUACGGGAGGCAGCAGUGGGGAAUAUUCGACAAAGGACCAAAGUCUGAUCCAGCAAUUCUGUGGGCACGAUGAAGUUUUCGGAAUGAAAAGUGCUUUCAGUUGGGAAGCGGUACCAGCAGAAGAAGUGACGGCUAAAUACGUGCCAGCAGCCGCGGUAAUUC
rnacentral:rRNA from 1 species